ensembl:miRNA
CUGCAAAAACAUAUUAGGUUGGUGCAAAAGUAAUUGCGGUUUUUAUCAUUAAAAGUAAUGGCAAAACCCGCAAUUAUUUUUGCACAAACCUAAUAUUUUU